rnacentral:rRNA from 1 species
GUGAAGCGGCAAUAGCUCAAAUUUGAAAUCUGGCUCUUUCAGAGUCCGAGUUGUAAUUUGCAGAGGGCGCUUUGGCAUUGGCAGCGGUCCAAGUUCUUUGGAACAGGACGUCACAGAGGGUGAGAAUCCCGUACGUGGUCGCUAGCCUUUGCCGUGUAAAGCCCCUUCGACGAGUCGAGUUGUUUGGGAAUGCAGCUCUAAAUGGGAGGUAAAUUUCUUCUAAAGCUAAAUACUGGCCAGAGACCGAUAGCGCACAAGUAGAGUGAUCGAAAGAUGAAAAGCACUUUGGAAAGAGAGUCAAAUAGCACGUGAAAUUGUUGAAAGGGAAGCGCUUGCAGCCAGACUUGCCUGUAGUUGCUUAUCUGGACUUUUGUCCAGUGCACUCUUCUGCGGGCAGGCCAGCAUCAGUUUGGGCGGUUGGAUAAAGGUCUCUGUCAUGUACCUCUCUUCGGGGAGGCCUUAUAGGGGAGACGACAUGCAACCAGCCUGGACUGAGGUCCGCGCAUCUGCUAGGAUGCUGGCGUAAUGGCUGUAAGCGGCCCGUCUUGAAACACGGACCAAGGAGUCUAACAUCUAUGCGAGUGUUUGGGUGUCAAGCCCAGACGCGUAAUGAAAGUGAACGGAGGUGGGAACCCUUUGGGUGCACCAUCGACCGAUCCUGAUGUCUUCGGAAGGAUUUGAGUAAGAGCAUGGCUGUUGGGACCCGAAAGAUGGUGAACUAUGCUUGAAUAGGGUGAAGCCAGAGGAAACUCUGGUGGAGGCUCGCAGCGGUUCUGACGUGCAAAUCGAUCG